rnacentral:rRNA from 1 species
UGGGGAAUUUUGGACAAUGGGCGCAAGCCUGAUCCAGCCAUGCCGCGUGCGGGAAGAAGGCCUUCGGGUUGUAAACCGCUUUUGUCAGGGAAGAAAUCUUCUGAGUUAAUACCUCGGGAGGAUGACGGUACCUGAAGAAUAAGCACCGGCUAACUACGUGCCAGCAGCCGCGGUAAUACGUAGGGUGCAAGCGUUAAUCGGAAUUACUGGGCGUAAAGCGUGCGCAGGCGGUUUUGUAAGACAGAGGUGAAAUCCCCGGGCUCAACCUGGGAACUGCCUUUGUGACUGCAAGGCUUGAGUGCGGCAGAGGGGGAUGGAAUUCCGCGUGUAGCAGUGAAAUGCGUAGAUAUGCGGAGGAACACCGAUGGCGAAGGCAAUCCCCUGGGCCUGCACUGACGCUCAUGCACGAAAGCGUGGGGAGCAAACAGGAUUAGAUAGCCCUGGUAGUCCACGCCCUAAACGAUGUCAACUGGUUGUUGGGAAGGUUCCUUCUCGGUAACGUAGCUAACGCGUGAAGUUGACCGCCUGGGGAGUACGGCCGCAAGGUU